UGGGGAAUUUUGGACAAUGGGCGAAAGCCUGAUCCAGCAAUGCCGCGUGUGUGAAGAAGGCCUUCGGGUUGUAAAGCACUUUUGUCCGGAAAGAAAUCCUUGGCUCUAAUACAGUCGGGGGAUGACGGUACCGGAAGAAUAAGCACCGGCUAACUACGUGCCAGCAGCCGCGGUAAUACGUAGGGUGCAAGCGUUAAUCGGAAUUACUGGGCGUAAAGCGUGCGCAGGCGGUUUGCUAAGACCGAUGUGAAAUCCCCGGGCUCAACCUGGGAACUGCAUUGGUGACUGGCAGGCUAGAGUAUGGCAGAGGGGGGUAGAAUUCCACGUGUGGCAGUGAAAUGCGUAGAGAUGUGGAGGAAUACCGAUGGCGAAGGCAGCCCCCUGGGCCAAUACUGACGCUCAUGCACGAAAGCGUGGGAGCAAACAGGAUUAGAUACCCUGGUAGCCCACGCCCUAAACGAUGUCAACUAGUUGUUGGGGAUUCAUUUCCUUAGUAACGUAGCUAACGCGUGAAGUUGACCGCCUGGGGAGUACGGUCGCAAGAUUAAAACUCAAAUGAAUUGACGGGGUCAUAGCUGUUUCCU
rnacentral:rRNA from 1 species